GGUUCAGUAUCUCGCUCAAGGACACUUCGACAUGCAGCUCAGCCCUGCCCGGAGCUGGGAUUUGAACCAGUGACCUUCCGAUCACUAGUCGACCUACAGCCCCCCCCCCUGUCUGUAAUGUCUGUAUUUCAAAGUACAAAAACAAUAUGACAUCCAUUCUUACAAUGUACAAGCUGAAAUACUUCAAUAUUGUUCAAUACACUGAAAAACCUGUGACUGCAUCAUUGUUUUCAAUAAAUCUGUUUCUGUCCAUCCAGAUGUAAAUACUGAAAACCGAGUUUCUACAAAAUCUUCACCCUUUAGGGAAUUUUCUGAGAGCUCAGUUAUCAGUUAAAUGCUGUUCAGACAUUGCAGAUGCUGAGGAAAUCUACUGGUCUGGUUCCAAAACGUUUGGUCACUUGCCCUUCCUCUUGUGUCACCAGUCUGGUAUCUCCCCUAAUCCCUGAUUGUUUCCACCUGUGCUCUCUCCCCUCGUAUGUAUAUAGUCUAUAGUCUGUUCUCCCCUGUCCUCGUUGCCAGAGUAUUUCGUUCGUCCUGUUGAUUACUUCAGCCAUUAUUCACCGCCUUGCCUUGAUCAAAGUUAAGUAUUGCCAAGUUUUGUUUCCUGUUAUUUGUAUUCCUCUGUAGAAGAGCGAUUUUGAUUUAAUUUUUUGGUCAGUCCUUUUGUUUUUCCAGUCAGUUAAUUUCAUAGCGUUUUGCUUUUCUUCCUUUGGAGCGUUUUUCUUUCUACGUUUUUCAGCAUAGCAAGUGUAGAUAAUUUUAUAGCCUGUGUGUCUUUUCCUCUGAGUGAUUUUUGUUUACUAGUUUUCAAAGAGCAUGUUGACUUAAGAUUAGAGAAGUGAUUAUAAUUUUCCUCCUACUGGAGUGUUUUCUGUUCCUGUGCUGUGUUUGUUGUUGUAUGUUUGUCUUCUGACAGUAGAUUUCCAUAGCCUAUUGAUUUAUCACUCUGUCUGCAGUAGAUGCUGUUCAGGAAAUAAAACCUGUCUUUACCGCUGCCA